rnacentral:rRNA from 1 species
CAGAGGGGGAUAACGUUUGGAAACGAACGCUAAUACCGCAUGAUAUUAUUGAGCUGCAUGGCUUGAUAAUCAAAGGAGCAAUCCGCUGAAAGAUGGGCUCGCGUCCGAUUAGGUAGUUGGCGGGGCAACGGCCCACCAAGCCGACGAUCGGUAGCCGGACUGAGAGGUUGAACGGCCACAUUGGGACUGAGACACGGCCCAGACUCCUACGGGAGGCAGCAGUGAGGGAUAUUGGUCAAUGGGGGAAACCCUGAACCAGCAACGCCGCGUGAGGGAAGACGGUUUUCGGAUUGUAAACCUCUGUCCUCUGUGAAGAUGAUGACGGUAGCAGAGGAGGAAGCUCCGGCUAACUACGUGCCAGCAGCCGCGGUAAUACGUAGGGAGCAAGCGUUGUCCGGAUUUACUGGGUGUAAAGGGUGCGUAGGCGGCUUUGCAAGUCAGAAGUGAAAUCCAUGGGCUUAACCCAUGAACUGCUUUUGAAACUGCAGAGCUUGAGUGGAGUAGAGGUAGGCGGAAUUCCCGGUGUAGCGGUGAAAUGCGUAGAGAUCGGGAGGAACACCAGUGGCGAAGGCGGCCUGCUGGGCUCUAACUGACGCUGAGGCACGAAAGCGUGGGUAGCAAACAGGAUUAGAUACCCUGGUAGUCCACGCUGUAAACGAUGAUUACUAGGUGUGGGUGGACUGACCCCAUCCGUGCCGGAGU